rnacentral:rRNA from 1 species
UACGUAGGGGGCUAGCGUUGUCCGGAAUCAUUGGGCGUAAAGAGCGUGUAGGCGGCCCGGUAAGUCCGCUGUGAAAGUCGGGGGGCUCAACCCUCGAAUGCCGGUGGAUACUGUCGGGCUAGAGUGCGGAAGAGGAUAGUGGAAUUCCUGGUGUAGCGGUGAAAUGCGUAGAUAUCAGGAGGAACACCGGUGGUGUAGACGGGCUAUCUGGACCGUAACUGACGCUGAGGCACGGAAAGCGUGGGUAGCAAACAGG